GGCUCGGUAGCGGAUGGUCCGUGCCUGCACCUUAUGAAGCCUGUGAGAUGUGAAGUGUAUGCAGGAGUUACCCGUUCGAUUCGGGGCCGAGCCC